rnacentral:rRNA from 1 species
GACGAACGCUGGCGGCGUGCUUAACACGUGCAAGUCGAACGGAAAGGCCCUGCUUUUGUGGGGUGCUCGAGUGGCGAACGGGUGAGUAACACGUGAGUAACCUGCCCUUGACUUUGGGAUAACUUCAGGAAACUGGGGCUAAUACCGGAUAGGAGCUCCUGCUGCAUGGUGGGGGUUGGAAAGUUUCGGCAGUUGGGGAUGGACUCGCGGCUUAUCAGCUUGUUGGUGGGGUAGUGGCUUACCAAGGCUUUGACGGGUAGCCGGCCUGAGAGGGUGACCGGCCACAUUGGGACUGAGAUACGGCCCAGACUCCUACGGGAGGCAGCAGUGGGGAAUAUUGCACAAUGGGCGGAAGCCUGAUGCAGCAACGCCGCGUGCGGGAUGACGGCCUUCGGGUUGUAAACCGCUUUCGCCUGUGACGAAGCGUGAGUGACGGUAAUGGGUAAAGAAGCACCGGCUAACUACGUG